GACGUAGGGCGCGAGCGUUGUCCGGAUUUAUUGGGCGUAAAGAGCUCGUAGGCGGCUUGUCGCGUCGACUGUGAAAUCCCGCGGCUCAACUGCGGGUCUGCAGUCGAUACGGGCAGGCUAGAGUUCGGUAGGGGAGACUGGAAUUCCUGGUGUAGCGGUGAAAUGCGCAGACAUCAGGAGGAACACCGAUGGCGAAGGCAGGUCUCUGGGCCGAUACUGACGCUGAGGAGCGAAAGCGUGGGGAGCGAACAGG
rnacentral:rRNA from 1 species